rnacentral:rRNA from 1 species
UACGGAGGGAGCGAGCGUUGUUCGGAAUUACUGGGCGUAAAGGGCUCGUAGGCGGCCAACUAAGUCAGACGUGAAAUCCCUCGGCUUAACCGGGGAACUGCGUCUGAUACUGGAUGGCUUGAGAUUGGGAGAGGGAUGCGGAAUUCCAGGUGUAGCGGUGAAAUGCGUAGAUAUCUGGAGGAACACCGGUGGCGAAGGCGGCAUCCUGGACCAACACUGACGCUGAGGAGCGAAAGCCAGGGGAGCAAACGGG